rnacentral:rRNA from 1 species
GACGAACGCUGGCGGCGUGCCUAACACAUGCAAGUCGAGCGCUGAAGCUUUGUACUUGUACCAUCUGGGUGAGCAGCGCACGGGUGAGUAACGCGUGGGUAAUCUGCUUUUGAGUGGGGGACAAUAUUUGGAAACGAGUUCUAAUACCGCAUAAAACCUUUAAACACAGGUUUUAAGUUUGAUAGAUGCCAUUGCAUCAUUCACAAGUGGUCCCGCGUUGUGUUAGUUAGUUGGUGAGGUAAAGGCUCACCAAGGCGUUGAUACAUAGCCGGCCUGAUAGGGUGAGCGGCCACCAUGGGACUGAGACACGGCCCAAACGCCUACGGGAGGGAGCAGUAGGGAAACUUCGGCAAGGGACGGAAGUCUGACCGAACAACGCCGCGGGAGGGAAGAACGUCGUCGGGUCGGAAAACUCUGUUGGUAGGGAAUAAAGUGCGUGAGAGUGGAAAGCUGAUCAAGUGACGGUAACUACACAAAAAGCGACGGCUAACUACGUG